GUCUAUGGCCUUACCACCCUGAAUCUGUUGGAUCUCAUCUGAUCUUGGAAGCUAAGCAGGGCCAGACCUGGAUGGGAAACAGGCAACCCACC
ensembl:rRNA 5S_rRNA 5S ribosomal RNA